CUCUUUGGCCGCACAAAUCUCCUCCAAGCAAAGUGGACGCACGUGGACUCCCUAAAAAAAAAGUGGACGCACGUGGGCGGCCACCGGCGAAGGGGGUCGAGCCCGAUCCCGCGGCGCGGCUGCGCCUACUCUCCCUCGCCUCUCCGGCCGCACAACUCUCUCCCUAAGCACGACGUUGGUGCAUGCAGGACGGCCGCCGGCGAACGAGGCCAUGCGCGAGACCGCAGCGAGGCGUCGCGGAGCCCUCUGCUCCGGUUUGUGAUCCGCGCAUCAGUCACCUCCAUCGCCACCGCGAGUCGCCUUCUCCUCCGUCGCUAGGAAUCCGGAAGCCGGCAAGGUAACUGAUCUCGGUGAACGAGGCCGCGCGCGAGACCGCGGCGAGGCGGCGCGGAGCCCUCUGCUCCUUGCCGGUUUGUGAUUCGCACCGGUCACCUCCAUCGCCACCGUGAGUCACAUCCUCCUUCGCCGCCGGGAAUCCCGUCGCCGGCAAGGUAACCUCUCUCCCUGGUCCUCACGCCCUGCUUGCUGCGUGUGUGUGAUGUGUGGGUGCUUAUGUUGUGUGCUUGCUAGCUUGUCGAUGAUGGCCUACUACUGUAUACGUAUGAUUUUGGAGUCAGACUGUCAGAUUAUGAUCUAUGCACUUGAGGAAAGGGAUUAUGAUGUUGCUGAAUUGGGAGUCCUCUUUCGCGAAGCCAGAAGUUUGGUGUUGGGGAUUUCAAGCCCCUUACUUAAUUUGUUUCAAUUUUGGUUAGCAGCGAUUUACCUGUGCACCAAGUUUGAGUGGAAUACAUUUUUCCAUUCAAGAAAAACUUGGUGGAUUAAUUUGUUUUAUCCGGCGAGCACCAGUGAUGGUGCACGAUGACGGGCUUACUGGACCAGAAGAUAUCUGUACUCUUCUCAAUGGUGCAAAGUUGAGGUGUUCUCAAAUCUCACUGGCCUAUUUUAUUUUACUACUGACUCUUGAAUGCUCUCUUUUUUCUGAUUUGGUUGUCUCUCUAUUCUUAUGUUCUUUACUUCCAAUUUCAACUUUCCAAGGAUUUAGUUAAAAAAAUUCAAGGAUUGUUCUUCUCAUGCCUUCUGUUGCCUGUUCAAGGAUUGUGCUGCAAUUUGGGGAGAGAUGGAGAACAUGGAGCCUUGGGCAGCUUAGGUAAAUCCUUCCUUAAGCGCAGUUGCCUUCUGGUCCAUAGUAAUGACUCUGGAUAAAGACGAAAUAGAGAACAUAAUCUUGGUGGAGGCAUCUCAAUGGAGAUGGGAAAGUGUUGCAGAAGUGGAUUUAUUGGGUUGGGGAAAUAGAAAAAAGAAAUCUUGCUUGGUUUUUGUAUUCUCUUCCUGAUGUAUUUUUUAUGUAUUAUCGGCAUGGAAUAGAUGAUCCCUCUCACUUAAGUUGAUAUUGUUGUCUUAUA